AUUGAACGCUGGCGGCAGGCCUAACACAUGCAAGUCGAACGAGUGGCGGACGGGUGAGUAAUGUCUGGGAAACUGCCUGAUGGAGGGGGAUAACUACUGGAAACGGUAGCUAAUACCGAAUAACAUCGGAUGUGCCCAGAUGGGCUUAGCUAGUGGGUGGGGUAACGGCUCACCUCGGCGACGAUCCGUAGCUGGUCUGAGAGGAUGACCAGCCACACUGGAACUGAGCCACGGCCCAGACUCCUACGGGAGGCAGCAGUGGGGAAUAUUGCACAAUGGGCGCAAGCCUGAUGCAGCCAUGCCGCGUGUAUGAAGAAGGCCUUCGGGUUGUAAAGUACUUUCAGCGGGGAGGCGUUACCCGCAGAAGAAGCACCGGCUAACUCCGUGCCAGCCGCCGCGGUAAUAC
rnacentral:rRNA from 1 species